CCCGGCCGGGGUGCCUAAUCAUGCAAGUCGAGCGCAGGAAGCAGGCAGAUCCCCUUCGGGGGUGAUGCCUGUGGAAUGAGCGGCGGACGGGUGAGUAACACGUGGGCAACCUGCCUGUAAGAUCGGAAUAACUCCGGGAAACCGGGGCUAAUGCCGGGUAAUCCUUUUUUUCGCAUGAGAGAGAGGUAAAAGAUGGCCUUUGGCUAUCACUUACAGAUGGGCCCGCGGCGCAUUAGCUAGUUGGUGAGGUAAUAGCUCACCAAGGCGACGAUGCGUAGCCGACCUGAGAGGGUGAUCGGCCACACUGGGACUGAGACACGGCCCAGACUCCUACGGGAGGCAGCAGUAGGGAAUCUUCCGCAAUGGACGAAAGUCUGACGGAGCAACGCCGCGUGAACGAUGAAGGUCUUCGGAUCGUAAAGUUCUGUUGUUAGGGAAGAACAAGUACCGUGCGAAUAGAGCGGUACCUUGACGGUACCUAACGAGGAAGCCCCGGCUAACUACGUGCCAGCAGCCGCGGUAAUACGUAGGGGGCAAGCGUUGUCCGGAAUUAUUGGGCGUAAAGCGCGCGCAGGCGGUUUCUUAAGUCUGAUGUGAAAGCCCACGGCUCAACCGUGGAGGGUCAUUGGAAACUGGGGAACUUGAGGACAGAAGAGGAGAGUGGAAUUCCACGUGUAGCGGUGAAAUGCGUAGAUAUGUGGAGGAACACCAGUGGCGAAGGCGACUCUCUGGUCUGUUUCUGACGCUGAGGUGCGAAAGCGUGGGUAGCAAACAGGAUUAGAUACCCUGGUAGUCCACGCCGUAAACGAUGAGUGCUAGGUGUUAGGGGGCUUCCACCCCUUAGUGCUGAAGUUAACGCAUUAAGCACUCCGCCUGGGGAGUACGGCCGCAAGGCUGAAA
rnacentral:rRNA from 1 species